rnacentral:rRNA from 1 species
GAUGAACGCUAGCGGCAGGCCUAAUACAUGCAAGUCGAACGAGAUUAAGAGGCUUGCUUCUUAUGAAAGUGGCGCACGGGUGCGUAACGCGUAUGCAACCUACCUUAAUCAGGGGGAUAGCCCGAAGAAAUUCGGAUUAAGACCGCAUAAAAACACAGGAUAGCAUUAUCCAAUGUUCAAAUAUUUAUAUGAUUAAGAUGGGCAUGCGUGUCAUUAGCUAGUUGGCGGGGUAACGGCCCACCAAGGCGACGAUGACUAGGGGAUCUGAGAGGAUGACCCCCCACACUGGUACUGAGACACGGACCAGACUCCUACGGGAGGCAGCAGUAAGGAAUAUUAGUCAAUGGAGGGAACUCUGAACCAGCCAUGCCGCGUGCAGGAAGACAGCCCUCUGGGUCGUAAACUGCUUUUAUUCGGGAAUAAACCUUUCUACGUGUAGGAAGCUGAAUGUACCGAAGGAAUAAGGAUCGGCUAACUCCGUG